UUCUUUUAGGCACGCUACUGGUAAGUGUGCCACACCACACCACCAGAUCAAAAAAUAUUAAUAGCGCGGGUAGUAAAUCCUGCGCUACUACUAAGUGAAUAGCUAUAGCGUAGACUAUACAUCCACGCUACUACUAAGCGUGUCCACUGCCUCCACAUGCCAAGCGACCAGAUCAAAAAAAAAACUUCUCACACAAAUCUCACCCCCACCGUACCCCUUGCUCUCGGUCGACCUCCUCUCCCCCACGAUCUCGUCGCCGCCGCCACCACUCAUGGCGGCCGGUUCCGGCGAUCUCCGGCCGCAUGCAACAUGCCCCCAAGCUCCGCCCCGCCCUCCCCUUCGUCCAGAUCCAUGCCUCAAGGUCUGCACCCUUGCCCGCGGCUAGGGAUUCGGGCGCCCCCGUGUUCUUGCCGCCGAGUGCCCAGGUCGGCCCGCUGGCCAACGAGCAGCACCCCGCACAUGCGCGUGCCCAGGCAGACGAGCAGUACGGGGUUUGGCCGCGGACGGAGACGAGUGCAGGCGCGGCAGCAGGAGAAGCUGUGGCGGCGGCGGAUCUGGUGACCGCCGGGUCGGCUCGUCGUUCGUGGCCGGCCGGAGUCGUGGUAAGGCGCUGUCGUCCAUGGAUUCCGGUGGCUAGCUGACGGCCAAUUGCCCUUGGACGCUGCUGGAACUGCUCGUUUCUGAAUUUUCAGUAAUGUGGCUAGCUAUGCCAAGUGCGUUUUCUGAAUUUUCCAGUCCACGCGAUUGUGAUUCUCGUGUCGCUGAUAGCUUGGAGCAGUCGGAUCUGGUCCGUAUACUACUCGUGACUGGGAAGGAAGGAUCGUGUCGCUGAUAGUUCAGUCUUCAGAAUUGGUUGGCGGAGAAGAUUCAUUUUAUUUUUUGAGGAAUUACAAUGAAAAAUUAUGAGUAAGAAUUUACAUAUGAAUUGUCUAACCAGUAUGCGGCCAAAAAACAAUGAAUUUAAAUAUCUUUACAUCCUUUGGCACCCGUGCAGAACUAUUAUACUUGUUGGUCAUAAUAAUUUCCAUGAGCAUAGACCAAGGUGAUAGUUAAUUGGUAAUACUUCUACUUCUUUCACGUAAAACUAGCUCGUGCAACGCACGGGUUGACGACUAGUACCGUACUAAUGCUUCAGGUUCUUUGUGAGUUCCUAGUAGUGGUCUUGGUUCAUUGUUUAAUUCCAGUAUUUGUGAGUUCCUAGUAGUGUUCUAUUUAUAGACCAAGUGGUCCUUUCACUAUUUCUUAGUUGGCUGUGGCUGAUCCCUUUGAAACUUUCUAUUUAUGGAUGAUUGGAACAGUUCCAGUUAUCCUAUGUGCCUGCUCUAACAGGAAAGCAUUUUCCUAAGGAUCAUGUCUAGUAAGUUGUACAAAACUAAUAGGGAACACAUGGACAUGAAGUUGCAGCGGCGACGGCGACGAUAUCGACAUGGGGCUGCGGUGGCGACAAUGACGACGACAUUGACAUCGACGGGGGCUGCGGCGGCGACGACGAUGAUAACGACAUUCUCACGGUGCUGCGGCGGCGGCGACGACGUCGACGACAUCGUCAUGGUGUUGUGGCGGUGGCGACGACGACAUCAACACCUUCAACACGUGCUUGUGGAGGCGCCGACGUCAACGACCUAUACGCGUGGCGUAUAUUAUAUAUAUAAUGUAUUAAUUAUCUAUAUUAGAUAUGUAUGAUUGACUGUAUUCAUAACAUGGAUGUAUUAUGAUAUCCAUGUAUGUCUAAACUGGAAUAGGUAGAUUUUUUUUGAAAUCCUAAUUAGUUACCAGUAGCGCGGGGGUAUUUUGGAUGCUCUACUACUAUUCUAUUACUAGUAGCGUGGGUGUGAAAUAGUAGUAGCGUGGUGCACCAGCGCUACUGGUAUGGCUGGAUAGUAGUAGCGUGGGGUAAAAUAAGCGCUACUGCUAAAAAAUAGCUGUAGCACCGUAACAGUAGCGCGUGUGGCAACGCUACUGGUAGCAAAAAAACCAGUGCUACUCGUAAGCUUUUUCCUAGUAGUGUGAUAUUGUGAGCUCAUUGGAUGAAAAAGAUGAGGAGAAGAGCGAAGAACAAA